rnacentral:rRNA from 1 species
GACGAACGCUGGCGGCGUGCUUAACACAUGCAAGUCGAGCGGUAAGGCCCUUUCGGGGGUACACGAGCGGCGAACCGGGUGAGUAACACGUGGGUGACCUGCCUUUAGCUCUGGGAUAAGCCUGGGAAACCGGGUCUAAUACCGGAUAUGACUCCGCGGCGCAUGUUGUGGGUGGAAAGCCUUGUGCGGCUGGAGUAUGGGCCCGCGGCCUAUCAGCUUGUUGGUGGGGUGAUGGCCUACCAAGGCGACGACGGGUAGCCGGCCUGAGAGGGCGACCGGCCACACUGGGACUGAGACACGGCCCAGACUCCUACGGGAGGCAGGCAGU